AACGUAGGGGGACAAGCGUUAUCCGGAUUUACUGGGCGUAAAGCGCCCGUAGGCGGCCUGACAAGUUGGACGUGAAAGCUCCUGGCUUAACUGGGAGAGGCCGUUCAAAACUGUCAAGCUAGAGUCUGGAAGAGGAGAGCGGAAUUCCCGGUGUAGUGGUGGAAUGCGUAGAGAUCGGGAGGAACACCAGUGGCGAAAGCGGCUCUCUGGUCCAAAACUGACGCUGAGGGGCGAAAGCGUGGGGAGCGAACAGG
rnacentral:rRNA from 1 species